rnacentral:rRNA from 1 species
GAUGGACGCUAGCGGCAGGCCUAGUACAUGCAAGUCUAAAGGGCAGCAAUGUCCUUGGCGCACGGGUGCGUAACACGUAUGCAACCUGCCCACAACUGGGGGAUAACCUUCCGAAAGGGAGGAUAAUACCGCAUAAAACAGGGAUCCCGCAUGGGAAUAUUGUUAAAGCUUCGGCGGUUGUGGAUGGGCAUGCGGACGAUUAGCUAGUUGGCGGGGUAACGGCCCACCAAGGCAACGAUCGUUAGGGGAACUGAGAGGUUGGUCCCCCACACUGGCACUGAGAUACGGGCCAGACUCCUACGGGAGGCAGCAGUAGGGAAUAUUGGUCAAUGGGCGAAAGCCUGAACCAGCCAUGCCGCGUGCAGGAAGAAGGCCCUCUGGGUUGUAAACUGCUUUUGACAGGGAACAAGAAGGCCAUGCGUGGCAAAGUGAGUGUACCUGUAGAAUAAGCCACGGCUAACUACGUGCCAGCAGCCGCGGUAAUACGUAGGUGGCAAGCGUUGUCCGGAUUUAUUGGGUUUAAAGGGUGCGUAGGCGGCCGCUUAAGUCAGUUGUGAAAUAUCCCGGCUCAACCGGGAGGGUGCGAUUGAUACUGGGCGGCUCGAGUAACAGCGAGGUUGGCGGAAUUGACGGU